rnacentral:lncRNA from 1 species
CCAAAGGCGCUGCACAUGACAAAAAUCAUUGCCUGAGGAGGCUAAACCACCUAGCCAUUCAUUACAACAGGCAUUUGCAAAAUGGAAUUAGUCGGUUGAGAGCUGAGCGCCCAGGCGUCAAAAUAAUAUAUGGGGACCUUUAUAAUGCAUUUGAAUGGCUUAUUGAUCAUGCUCCAGCUCUAGGUUUGCCUACCAAUAAUUUGAACUAUAAUUAUUUUCUUAUCAUUGAGUAAUACGAGUCUACAUUACUAGUUUGAAUUGUCAAUAACAGGUUUUGAUGAAGAUUCAUUGCUGAUAGCUUGUUGCGGAGCUGGGGGGAAAUACCAUGUCGGAGGAUUUGCAAAAUUUUGUGGAUCACGAGGAGUUUCAGUGUGUUCGAAUCCAGAUGGACACUUAAACUGGGAUGGAGUUCAUCCAACACAAAAAGCAAACAAGUAUUUGUCAUCAUGGCUUAUUAAAGACAUGUUACCAAAGCUGGAUUGCCCUUCAUCUUGAUUAAUUACCCACCUCUUGUAGUUUUGAUUAGGAUUAAUUAGUAGUUGGAUUAUUUUAAUUUGAUUAGGAUGGAGAGCUGGGGAGUAGAUUGUAGGUUCCUAGGCUCAUGAAUAAAUAGUUGUUGCUUCUAGGAGUUUGCAGAGAAGGCCAGGAGAAUUUGUUUUUUGUUUCUUCUGGACAAUGAAAAAUGUUUCCUCUGAAUUUGUGUAAAUAAGCUUUCGCUUCCAUGUGUUAUGUGUGAUUAAAUUCAUGCAAUUGUUUGUUAGCAGGCCUUAUUCUGUGCUUUCUUGCUGGACAUAUGUGCUGCCUAGGGUCCCUAGACUUUAAUAUUAGAGAAUCAUUUAGUUUUGAUUGCAGUAGACAAGGAUGCAAAUCCCAGAUAACAUCGAAAACCUCAAACACCUUUAAGUAUACUUGCUAGUGACGUGGUGUGACUUUGAUUCAAACCUUGAUUGAGCAGACAAAUGUUGAAACACAAGAAGCUCUAACAUUCAUAAUGCAUCUGCUCUGUUUGUCAGUUUGUGGUGAGCAACUCGGGGGCUUAUUCAUCACUUCUCAUAACUUAUGAACUUGAGUCUGCAGAAUUUAAGUCUGACAUUAAGUCUGACAUGUUAUUACUUCCAAAUUCUCUUUCUGUUUAAUCUCGACACAUCGCAGUGCAAUUUCUGCAAAAGAAAGGGCCUCUUUCACUGGCCAAUUUCUGCAAUUUCUGUACCUGACAUUAUUGUGAGAGAACUUCUAAUGCUCUGUAUUUUGCUUCAGAAUCCCUCUUAGCCUUCAAUUCUGCAUGCCUUCUUCUCUCUGCUUCCAGUUUUAUAGGAGGCUGUUGAAUGGGAGCAGAAGAGCAAAGUUGCUGGAAAAAUGCAUGCUCACAAUGGUCCUGGGGGCAGCUAAAAUUUUAAAAACCCGGGAGAAGCAUUUGAAGGUUUAUAAUACGCGCAACAACACUUAAUGUGUGUUUAUGUUAUCUCGUUUAUUAGAUGAAGUUAACUAAUUUCGGUAGUCAUAUUUUGUGCGUGUUAGACAUAUAAUAAUCAAAGUUUAUGGUGAUUCUUCUUAUAAAUACUUGCCCCUAUAAAAUUAAUCGACAAAUAGUUUAUACUAUUCUAUACAGGAACGCCAUUAAUUAUAUAGCACAUCUAUUAUUUACUGAAUAUUGUGGGUACUUGUAUGAUAAAUUUGUAGGGGAUAGUAGUUGUGAUAUUUCAGCCAGCAGGGGAGGCAGGGAACGGUGAGAAAAAUAUGAUUGAAGAUGAGGCUCUUAAUGAUGUGGAGACUAUAUCUGCAGUUCAUGUAUUUGACGGGUGUGAUCGUUUCAAAACCGGGUCCUUUGCUUGCUGUCUGUGGAAUUUUCAGAGCGGUCACUACUGGAAAACAAGACCCUGCAGGGAAUCCACACCACUCUGUUGAUCUUAUACAUUUUAUAUGAUGGACCUUAGUUUCUCCCCAUGCGAGCUAGAAAUGUGUAUUGUUUAAAAUCCACCAACACCAGCUAUGCUAUGUUAGAGGUACACUAAGAAAAUUUCAGUGUGUUCGAAUCCAGAUGCACACUUAAACUGGGAUGGAGUUCAUCCAACACAAGAAGCUAACAAGUAUUUGUCUUCAUGGCUCAUUAGAGACUUGUUACCAAUGCUGGAUUGCCCGAUUAAUUAUCCACCUCUUGUAGUUUUGAUUAGGAUUAAUUAGUAGUUGGCUUAUUUUAAUACGAUUAGGAUGGAGAGCUGGGAGGAGAUUGUAGGUUCCCAGGCUCCUGAAUAAAUAGUUGUUGCUUCUAGGAGUUUGCAGAGAAGGCCAGGAGAAUUUGUUUUUCGUUUCUUCUGGACAAUGAAAAAUGUUUCUUCUGAAUUUGUGUAAUUAAGCUUUGGCUUCCAUGUGUUAUGUAAAUUCAUGCAAUUGUUUGGUAUCAGGACUUAUGACAGUAAUAAGAUAAAGAGUAAAUUGCAUAGUCAUUGCGAUUUUCAAAGUAGUGGUCAGGAUUUCAAAUUUACAUUUUAAUGUCUAGUUUUUAAAGACUGACUUGGGUUAACAUAAUUAGAUUUUAAAUUGCAUAAUUGACUUUGAUAUAUUGUAUUGUAUUGAUCAUGUAGUCCAAAAACUAGCUUAAAUCCGCAAUCACUCGUUUGAAACUUCGUUUGAAACCUGAUUAUGUUAACGGAAGCCACAUUUUUAAAAAGCAAAAUCAAAAUCUGGCCACUAAAAUACGAAUUUGAAAGUCCCACCACUAUAUUAAAAAUGAAUAUGAAGUACGGUGAUAAUUUAUUGUAAAUUAUAUUUUCAAGCUAUGUUAGAAUUUUGUACUCUUAUACAAUAUAAUAUUUUCAUAUUUAAAAUAAAAAAUUGUGCAUAAAUAUUAAUAAUUUAUUUUAUUAUUAUUGUUGUUGUUAUUUUUUCAUAAUUUUUCAACACAAUUUAUGAGAAAUUUCUCUAUAAUUAUAUUAGCUAAGCUAAACAUAAUUUAUAAUGAUAAAUAUUCUCUGAUCUUUGAGCAGGUCAAAUACCGUUACAAUAUGUAAAAAGAAAGAAAAAUGUAUAUUAAAUUUUAAGAUUCUAUGCAUAGAUCAUCGUAACCAGUUAACAGGAUCAAUAACAAGCUUUUUAUGUUUAAACCGGAAAUUCGUUUGUUCAGUGAUAUCAUCCCACACGGUUUUAUAUAACUAAUUAAGUUGCUUCCCAAAAGGUUUGAUCACUAUUCUGCCAUGAAAACAGGAGAUCAGUUAUAUGUGCUCACAUUUCAAGAUAAUCCUAUAUCUUACUAAAUUCUAUCUCGUUAACUAUAUUUCAGCUCUCCCAAAUUUCCCUUUGCUAUUAAUCUUGUAACUACAAAUAUAGUAAGAUACAGAUUUAAGUGCCUGUUCUUUAUAAUUAUCAAGAAUGGCUUCCACAAAGAAAUUGUCGAUUUUUUACUUGCUUAUGCUUGUUUCUUCAUUAUCUUUAUCGAAUGCAACAUUCAUAAGCCAGCAAGCCCGGAGAAUGUACGUGGAUGCCUCAUUGUUCAUGUUCCGAAAUUGUCAGUUCGAAAAGAUUUAUCAGUUCGGAGAUUCCAUGUCUGAUACUGGAAAUAUCGUUAUUGAGAAUCACAAAAAGGAAGCUUCAAAUAGACUGCCCUAUGGUGAAACUUUCUUUGGGAGACCUACUGGUCGCAACUCAAAUGGUUUACUCAUGAUCGACUACAUUGGUAAUUAAAAAAAAUACAAAUCACUAUAUUGUUGUGUAAUUUGAGAUAGGUAUGAUGUUUAGUUUUCUGAUUUUGCAGCAUGGGCGGCUGGUCUUUCGUUGUUGAAUCCGUUCAAUGACAAAAAGGCCAAUUUUGACUCUGGAGUCAAUUUCGCGGUAGCUGGUUCAACUGCAACUUCAGUUGAGAAAUUGGAAGCCCAACACAUUCCUGGGAAUAUCACGACUACUCAUUCUCUCGAUGUCCAAGUUAGAUGGAUGGACGAAUAUCUUGCCAAAUUUUGCAAAGGCGAUGCAGGUUUUGUCACUUUGGUUCGAUGAAUAUUGUCUGAUUGAUUAAUUGUGUUCUGGUAUAUAUUUGAUUGUCACGUUGUGCAGAUUGCGGUGAUAAGCUUAAGAAUUCUUUGUUCAUGGUGGGAGAGACGGGGGGAAAUGACUACAAUUAUGCUCUGAUGGCGAGGAAAACUAUCAAAGAAAUUAAAGCCACUGUGUCACAGGAGGUGGUAGACACCAUAAUAAAUGGUACAAGGGUGAGUUCAUUAAGAAAACAUAAGAGCUUCUUUUGUUUUGGUUUGUAAUUAUUCUGUUAAAUUUUGUGCUUGUGUUGUGUCAGAGACUAAUUAGUCGUGGGGCACGGAAGUUGAUUGUACCUGGGAAUUUCCCAGUAGGCUGUUUACCGAUUUACCUAACUCUUUUCCAAACCAAAAACUCGACGUUUGAUGAGCAUGGUUGCUUGAAGGAGUACAAUGAACUUUCCAUGUACCACAAUACGAAGCUAAAAGAUGCACUAGAUCAGUUGCAAGAAGAAGCCCCGUACACGACUAUAGUAUAUGGAGAUUACUACAAUGCCUAUCUGUGGGUUUACACACAUGCGAAAGAUCUAGGUAAGUUUAUAGCUUUCUGAUGUUAAGAGAAUUUUCUGUAUUUUUAUAACAUGUCCUCUGUUUUUAAUCAAAAAUUCUUCAAACUGUGGAAACUACUUGAGGGUGACCUGAGGUCCAUUUUUCGGUUAAAUAUCUGUAUGUGAUUCUAUUCUGAGGUUUAAAUUUUGUUUUGUUGGUAGGUUUUAAAUCAUUGCAAAAGGCUUGUUGUGGAAUUGGCGGUAAAUAUAAUGUGGGGUUUGGAAAAAUGUGUGGUGACCCGGGUGUUCCGGUGUGCCCUGAUCCAAAUAAUCACCUGAACUGGGAUGGUGUUCAUCCGACACAACAAACAAAUAUGUUUCUGGCGACUUGGCUCAUCACUAACAUGUUACCUUCUUUAGAUUGUUAUUAAUUUGCAACUUUUCUUGUUAUGCACUAAUAAAUUUAGAUGUUAGGAGGUUAGUGGUUCUGAUUUUCCAGCUCUUGUAUUCUAUCUAGUAUAUCGAUGGAGAUUUUUAGUUGUUACUUGUUAGCUCAAUCCCACUGCUAGAUGUGGUUGGUUUGUUUUAUCUUCCAGGAGUUGAACAUUUUGUUUCUGAAUCUUUAUCUAUCAAUCAGGAGGAGUUGAACAUUUUGUUUCUGAAUUUGAGAUUAGAAAAUGUUCUUGAGUUAGCAUUUUACUCUUUGUUAUUCCAGCUUCAUAUUUGAUCUCAGUUGCAGACCUUCUGCACCACAAAUCCUCAUACUUCAGGUGAUGAGCUAUUUUAUCUUCCUUGUUAGCUUUUAAUAAAACAGCAGGGGUUUACAAAUUAGAACCAGUGGUUCAUACUGUUUGAUUCUCGUUAAUACCAUUAACGGAAGGAGGUGAGAAAAAUGUCUUGAAAAAAAUCAAUAAAUCUUAUUCAAGAAAUCCAAAUUGAUACCAUCAUGGCAUUUUCCCCCGUCGUCGCUCAAGAGAUGGCUCGGAUGAUGUCCAACCGUGAGUUAAAUUGGUCAAUUACAUUGGAUCUGUAACCAAUAUAUUGUCCUCAACUGGGAUUAAUUAUAUUGAUUAGCUAUUUUUUAAAAUUGAUAUUUUAUUAUUGUUACAAAAUUAUAUUGAACAAAUAAAUCAUUUAUUUAUAAUAGAUGAUGUGAAAUUUUAUUAGAGGUUUCAAGAGAUUACUAUACUUAUUGCUAAUGGUUUUCUUGGGGAUGUUCUCAUACAUGUAACAAGAUUUCAAAUUAUCUAUUGUUAUAGCCAAUCUCAAUGGAGAACAAAAAUUUAUACAUUGAGCGAUACUCCCUCCAUUCCAAAAUAAUAGUCGCAUUGACUUUGUGCACGUAUUUUUAGGUUUAAAAAAACCAUAUUUUUACAUAUUAUUUUUGAAAUUUUCUUUUUCUGAAUAAAAGUUUAACAUCUCUAUUUUUAUUCAGACAAAAAAAAUUUCAAAAAUAAUAUGUAAAAGUAUGUUUUUUUGCAUCUCAAAAUACGUGCACAAAAUCAAAGCGACUAUUAUUUUAAAAUGGUGGGAGUAUUUUAUAUCAUCCUAACAAACACUUUUGAAGAGUUAUAGAUUGAGCAAUAUUUUAGGUGCAAAGAUCCGGGCUGCGGGGCAUACAAAAGCAAACAUAAAGCAGCUGGAAAGACUUCUUUCGCCAACUCUUUUCCCCCAUCUCUCUGACUCUCUCUAGAGUCUAGAUGACGUGAUUGAUUAGAUAAUUGAAACUAUAAAUUAUUUUUAUAAUUAAAUAUUACUUCAUCUGUCCCCUCACUUAUUUAUCGUUUUUAUUUUGAACCGUCCUUUUCAUUUUUUUCAUUACCUAAAAUAACAGCAUUUUAACAUUAUAAAAAUAUGUGUGGUCCCACAAAUUCUGACAUUGCAAGGUUUUAUCACCCUCCUUCAUGUGCUUUCCGUAUAAUUACUCUAUUGUGUUGCUAUUAAGUGGAUUAUUAAAUAAACUGUAUUGGUCUUCGUGUUUCUUUCAUGUGUCAACAACUAAGAGUACACAAGGAGUAUAUAUAUUAUGAAUAAAAUUAUUUAUUGAAUAAUAAGAUUUAACGAUUCGUAUUUAUACGUUGACAUGUUAAACAUAUAAAAAAUAAAAAUCAUAUUCAGAUUACAAAACUUACUCCUAUUUGAAUUUGAUAAAACAUACUUCUAUUCUGAUUUUUACAAAAUUUACCUCUAAUUUGUUUAGUUAAUAAAAAAAUAAGGAACAUAUUCUGUUUAUAAAAUGUACUCGUAUUUGGUAUUCCCUCUGUCUCUUAAUACUUUUCAUGUUUUUUUUUGUCACGCUUGUCAACACACACUUUUGAUCAUUAAUAUCUUUAAUUUCGUAUUAGUAUCAAAUAUAAAAAUUUCACCGUAUUAAAGUACUCACAAAUACGAAUCCAACAAGAUCACUCAUGACUAUAUUUAGUCUUAUUGAUCAGAUGUAAAUUAGUAAUUUGUCUCAUGUUAUGAACAGUCCCGACAUUUCAAAUGAGAAAAGUUUUUAGAGACGGAAGAAGUAUUAGUGUAUAAAUUUUAUUUUACAUUUAAAUAUUAUAUAUCAAUAUCUUUUAUGUGAUGUAAUUUUAACAGUUUAUCAGACAAUAAUAUAUAAAGAUUCGUAUUUUUUUAUGAUAGUAUUCAAAUAACUAAAUUAUUAUUUUUACGCUUAUUAUAUAUAAAUAUAUAAUAGCAGUGCAAUAUAAAAAAUUAAAACUUAAAAUAAAAUAGAUAAUACUCCCUCCGUCUCUAAAUACUUUUCCUGUUUGUGUUUUGCACGUUUGCCAACACACAUUUUUGAUCGUUAAUAUAUCUUUCAUUUCGUAUUAGUAUUAAAUAUAAAAACUUCACCGUAUUAAAUCAAUAAAUGUCUUCAAGAAAUCAAUAAAUCUUAUUCAAGAAAUCCAAAUUGAUACCAUCAUGGCAUUUUCCCCCGUCGUCGCUCAAGAGAUGGCUCGGAUGAUGUCCAACCGUGAGUUAAAUUGGUCAAUUACAUUGGAUCUGUAACCAAUAUAUUGUACUCAACUGGGAUUAAUUAUAUUGAUUAGUUAUUUUUUAAAAUUGAUAUUUUAUUAUUGUUACAAAAUUAUAUUGAAAAUAUAAAUUAUUUAUUUAUAAUAGAUGAUGUAAAAUUUUAUUAGAGGUUUCAAGAGAUUAGUAUACUUAUUGCUAAUGGUUUUCUUGAGGAUGUUCUCAGACAUGUAACAAGAUUUCAAAUUAUCUAUUGUUAUAGCCAAUCUCAAUGGAGCACAAAAACUUAUACAUCGAACGAUAUUUUGUACUCCCGCUGUUUUGAAAUAUAAGUCGUUUGACUUUUUUGCACGCGUUUCUAAGUUCUUUGACCGCAUGCUAAAAAUUAUAAUUCCUCAAAAAAAAAUUUGAAUAAAAAUAUAUGAUUGAUAUUAUUAUUUAAAAAAGAAAAUUUCAAAAAUAAUAAUUUUAACCAUGCGGUCAAAAAAUUUUAAAAUAUCUGUAAAAAAGUCAAGCGACUUAUAUUUUAAAACGGUAGGAGUAUUCAUCUUAACCAACACUUUUAAAGAGUUAUAUUGAGCAAUAUUUUAGUUGCAAAGAUCCGGGCUGCGGGGUGUACAAAAGCAAACAUAAAGCAGCUGGAAAGACUUCUUUCGCCAACUCUUUUUCCCCAUCUCUCUGACUCUCUCUAGAGUCUAGAUGACGUGAUUAAUUAGAUAAUUGAAACUAUAAAUUAUUUUCAUAAUUAAAUAUUACCUCAUCUGUCCCCCUCAUUUAUUUACUGUUUCUAUUUUGAACCAUGCCUUACAUUUCUUUGCAUUACCUAAAAUAACAACAUUUUAACAUUAUAAAAAGGGUUUGUCUAAUGUGUGCCAUGAACACAUGCUAAGCGCGGAAUUUGAUAUGUUUGGGAGGUUGGUGUGGUUGUUGUAUUUGCAGGGGAGUCCACCAUUAUUAAGAUAUGAGAUCCAAUUAAAAUCUCCAAAAUUUGUAAAAUUCUGCGCUUAGCAUGUGUGCAUGAGCGCACACUAGAGAAAAACUAUUAUAAAAAAUAUGUGUGGUCGCACAAAUUUUGACAUCGCGGGUUUUAUCACCCUCCUUCCUGUGCUUUCCGUAUGAUUACUCUAUUGUGUUGCUGUUAAGUGGAUUAUUAAAUAGACUAUAUUGAUCUCCGUGUCUUUUUCAUGUGUAAACGACUAAGAGGGACACAAGGAGUAUAUAUAUUAUGAAUAAAAUUGUUUAUUGAAUAAUAAAAUUUAACGAUUCGUAUUUAUACGUUGACAUGUUAAACAUAUAAAAAAAUAAAAGUCAUAUUCAGAUUACAAAACUUACUCCUAUUUGAAUUUGAUAAAACAUACUUCUAUUCUGAUUUUUACAAAUUUACCUCUAAUUUGUUUAGUUAAUAAAAAAAUAAGGAACAUAUUUUAUUUACAAAAUGUACUCCUAUUUGGUACUCCCUCCGUUUCUUAAUACUUUUCAUAUUUCUUUUUGUCACGCUUGUUAACACACACUUUUGAUCAUUAAUAUAUUUAAUUUUGUAUUAGUAUCAAAUAUAAAAAUUUCACCGUAUUAAGAUACUCACAAAUACGAAUCCAAUAAGGUCACUCAUGACUAUAUUUAGUCUUAUAGAUAAUAUGUAAAUUAGUAAUUUGUCUCAUGUUAUGAACAGUCCCGACAUUUCAAAUGGGAAAAGUUUUUAGAGACGGAAGGAGUAUUAGCGUAUAAAUUUUAUUUAUUUUACAUUUAAAUAUUAUGCAUCAAUAUCUUUUAUUGUGAUGUAAUUUUAACAGUUUAUCAGACAAUAAUAUAUAAAGAUUCGUAUUUUUUUAUGAUAGUAUUCAAAUAACUAAAUUAUUAUUUUUACGCUUAUUAUAUAUAAAUAUAUAAUNCAGUGCAAUUUAAAAAAUCAAAACUUAAAAUAAAAUAGAUAAUAAACAAUUAGAGAAAAGUUCUAUGGAGACCACGUUUUCAUCGGAGACCUUGGAGACCACUUAUAUUCUGCGAUUAAAACACUACCAAAUCUAUUGUUUUGCGAAGUACAUUUAUCACUAUUUCAUUGAAAAUGUUGAAAAUUAUUUAUGCUAAACAAGCGGAACAUAUAUGUUCAGCAAGAUCAACAAAUGUUCUGCACACUAAACAUGGUUUUGUAAAAUAAUAUUGUUUUUAUGUUUUAUUUGCCAAAUGUAUAAAAUUUGCAAGAUUGUCAAUAAAAUAAUGAUCUUUAUAGAACAUGAUUCGAAAAAUAAUACGUUUUGCAAUGUUUUUAUGCAGUAUUUUAGUUGCAGUAUUUUAGUUGCAGUACAUAAGUGGUCUCCAAGUCUCCAAUGAAAACAUGGUCUCAAUAGAACUUAUCCCUAAAGAAUUAUGAAAUAAAGACAUGGAAUUGACGUCAUUGUGUGCCUGUCAUUGCUCAUAACAGCUUACAAUUAGUUAUCUGACAGACUACGACUCUGUUAAAUUGAUUAGACCGACAUUUAAUUAUAAUCAUGCAUUGCAGGAAGGAUCAAAACUGUGAUUAUUAAAAAUUGAUUAGACUGUUGUACUAGCUCCUACCAUACUAAUCUCAACAAAGUCUGCACAAAAAACCCACUUAGCAAUAUAAAACGACAAAAUCAAUCAAAUUAAGACCUGUCAUUAGAUAUAUACAAGGUUAAUCAGGUUAUCAUAAUCUUUCCACUUGUAGUUUCGUACUGCAUUCGACGGAAUUGAAUAAUCUUCGGUCAAACUCACAAAUAUUUCACCUCAAAGUUUUCGUUGCGACUCAUGUAACGCAUUAACGACUGUUUGUCUCUUUUAAUUUUCAAACUUAGGAUUACGUCCUCUAGUGUAAUCCUACAGCAGACGUGUAAAUCAAAACGAUUUUUGUCUGAAUUGAAUUGAGCUAGACUAGUUUAAAUUUUAAAAUGAUGUUCAAGAUUUUAUUGUUAAUAAACAAGCUGAAUGAACAUGUGUUUGUAUUUUGGAAAAAAUUAUUCAACUAAAGUCGAGUUGAGUUUAACAAAAUUGAGUUGCUCAUAAAUAAUUCUAUUUAGUCUACCAAUCCUCAUUUUUAAAAAUUAAUAUAAAAUUUUACAAAUUACAUCCCAAUCCGUCAAACUAUCAUAAUGACCUAACAUACACACUCGACUCCUAAACAAUUCUAACAUAUUUUUUAUUCAACCAAUCCGAUUCAUGAAAUAUAAUUUAUAAAAUUACAAAUUACAUCGAAACUAGUGUCUAAUAAUCAUAUAUUUACACUUGAGAGUUGCACUCUCUCAAGUAAGAUUUACUCUUCUUAUCAUCUAAUGUCUCUCAUUUAAUCUUUCAUGUCAACUAUAAUGGUUUGAAAUUGGUAAAAUGUAUCAAAUUUUGAAAUAAAUACAAAUUUGCGUCCAGGGCGAGUUAAACGAGUCUAAGCUCGAGAAGAUUUCGAACCAAACGAGUUGUGCUCGAGACAAGUAGAUAAAAAGCUGCUUGGAUUCGUUUACUAGCUAUAUGAAGUUUCAUGUCUUGGACCAGUUUUUUUAGUAAACACACAGAACCGGGCUUAUUUAACGAGAUGAGUUCGAAUUUUGUUCACGAACGGCUCAGCUUGGGCAUUUUAGAAAAUGAUUAGUGAAAUUAGGUCAAAUGACUAAAAAACGAGGAUGAGCGGUGCAGUACUUCGAGAUUGCUCAAGUACUGUACAUAUUGUACCUUCAUUAUAUUGCAUUCAAGAAUUAUAUAAAGAGCACACUUGUAGUUGUAUGGGUUAACUAAGAGAUCCUGCAACUGAGGAUCUGUCUUUCACAAAAUUACGUACGUAGAUAAUAAAGCUGAAGCACACUCAUGGUCAUGGAUGCUGCUGCUGAAAGUAUUAAUAUUAGACAAAAAUUAGAGUAAUCAAGUAGAAAACAUACCAAGAGACACACUGUACCCCUUGUGUAAAUCUUCUUCCUUCUGUCUUUCGUUCUCUCCGCACACAAACCUAUGGAUAAUCAUUUAUGUAAUACUUAAAAAAACGUACUGCUUGUAGAGUAAUUUACAGACUGACCUAGAUAUAUGACCAUAACUGAGAAGAAGCAAGUAUCAAGACUCAAGUGUAGAAAGCCAUGUUGGGGAAGGGGAGCACGUGCAAAGACAGUGUUGCUCUCAACUUCAACCUUGCACGUGCCCUGCUUCUCCAUCAAGGCCUCCUCACUCUGUAGGCUCUAUGUGUAUUUCAUCUUCUUUCUCCUGUCUGAAAAUGUUGAGAGGAGGUAUUUAUAGAGAGACAGAGACAGUGAAGAGGGUGGAGUCUUGGAGUGGGCAUUCUUUAAAGACAAAACCCGAUUGGAGGAUAAAAGCAAAGCAAUCAAGUGGCUAUAGCCAUAGAUUGUGGUUUACAUAUGAUCCUAUGGGAGUGGCACUGUUGAAAAGCUAUGAUGAUAGGGGAGAUAGAUAUAUCUUUAUUUUCUUACUUAUAUUGCCGUGUGUUUGCCAAUUACUCUAACCUCUUCAUGCCAAAAAGUCUACCACCACUGCUUUGGACUUUGAUAUUUGAUAUGAAGUUUUUCCCGGACAUGACAGUAAUUACCUGCACAAGAGUACUAAGAUAUACAUGGCAGUGUUCAAGUCCUACUAGUUUCGAAGUUAAAAAAUAAUUAUUUUUUUAAAUUUACACUUAAUAUUAUAAACUCAAGAUUUUGGCCGAGACUAGAUAGAGAGAAAUUGGAACCAUUUCAGUUGAAAUUCAGUAACUAGUUUUUCAGAAAUUGCUUUUUGAUUUUCAGAGUGCUCAAGAAAUAAAGUUAGUUAACCUGAAUUUUUAAUUUUACAACCUUGGUUAUAAGUUAGCACAAUUUUAUAAGCCACCCCAUAAAAGUAGUUAUUUAAAUUUAUCAUCAUAUUUUUUAAUCAAAUUGGAAUUAAACUGUUUUUGAGAUUGUCCUAUUUACUGAACAUAACUCUAUAAGAAACAAAAGUGCAAUUUUUUUUUAAAAAAAAUCAUUUAAGCACCUUAUAAUUAAGGAAAAAAAUUUAAUGCAUCACACAAAGUCUAUCCGUACCACAAAUACUUGAUAGUAGUGAAAUUAUGAAUUUGUUUGACAUUCAGGAGGGUAAGAAAACUUAAUGGUUUCCUUCGACAAAAAAGAUCGCCAAAAUAGUGCAAAUAUUGCACGUUUGGGUUUGGAUAUGGGCAUAAGUUAUUUAUUUUCUACCAUCUACUAUCAUGGAGACGAAGAAAAAAAUGUGCUAGAAAGUGAAUCACAAAUCAUUCAUAGAAAAACCUAAAAAAAAGGACAAUUGGAAAAGUGGAAAAUGACCGGUGGACACGGGUAGAAAAUGGAAAUGCUUGGUGCACAUAAUUGUGUACAAAAACAUGUACAUAAUGUUAUGUGGUGGAUUUUAAUUGGAUGGCCCCCUGCAUUUACACCAACCACCCCAAUUAAAACCCACCACAUCACUUGCCACAUCAUUAUGUACAAAUUUUAUGUACACAAUUAUGUGCACCUAGCACUACUCGUAGAAAAUUGUUGGUAAAAAAAGAUAAAUACCAGAUUUUUAUCAGAGAAAUGCUACGGACACAGAAAGCGGUACAGAAAAUAAUUACAGAAUGAUGUGGCAGCUUGAGGUGGACCGAGUAUUUAAUAUGUUGUCUGCCACUAACCUAGUUACCAGCUUUUUCUCACAUCUGUAAUAUGUUCCUUAUGUUAUCCUUUGUUUGUACUAUCUUCUAAUUAAUAUUUUGAUAUUUUAAAUAAUUGUUAAUUCUAAAAUAUUUCAUAUUAAUAUAUAUUAUUUUAAAUUUCUUAUUUGAAUAACCCAUAUUUAUGUAAACAUAUGUAUUUGUAUACUAUAAUUAAUGAAAAUUAAGUGUUUAAUUGAAAUUCUGAUUUUUCCAAAAAACUAAAAUAAUUUCAAAACAAAAUACUUUAAAUACAUUGAAAAAUAGAGUAAUAAAAAACUAAAAAAGUGAUUACAUAUAAAAAGCAAGAGAAUAACUAUAAAACCCUCACAUAUUAUAUAUAUUACGAGUCUAAUAUAGUAAAUUUAUCAAUUUACAUCAAAAUAUUACGAAAAUAAAAUUAGUGACAUAAAUAAUUUAAAAGGAAAAUAUAAUGAGAAUUAAAAGGUGAAAUACAAAUAUAUAUAUAUAUAUAUAUAUAUAUAUAUAUAUAUAAUUCAUAUAAAAUAUAUAUUUUUGAAAUUAUUUUAGUUAUUUAAAAAAUCGCAUGUGAAAUAUUUAAAUUAGACUUUUCAUUUUCAUUGAUUAUAUUAUACAAAUAGCCGACAUAAAUAUAUCGAAAAAUAAAGUAAUAAAAACUAGAAAGUUUGAUUACAUAUAAAAAAGUAUAAGAAUAAUUUUAAAAAAAAUCCUCACAUAUUAUAUAUUUCACGAAUAUAAUGUAGUAAAGUUAUUAAUUUAGUUCAAAAUAUUAUACAGUUAAAAUAAGUGACAAAUAACUAAGAAAAGACAAUAAAAAUUAAAAAGUGAAUCACAUAAAGAAGAAGAUAAAAUAAACAAUGAAAAUGUAAUUCAUAUAAAGUAUUUUUUUCUGAAAUUAUUUUAGUUUUUUGGAAAAAUCACAAGUGAAAUAUUUGAAUUAAACACCUCAUCUUCAUUAAUUAUAGUAUACAAAUACGUAUGUUUAUGUAAAUAUGAGUUAUUCAAAUAAGAAAUUUAAAAUAAUAUAUAUUAGUUUGAUAUAUGUUAAAAUUAAUAAUUAUUUAAAAUAUAAAAAUGUUAAAAGAUAGUACAAAGUACAAACAAAGGAUAACAUAAGUUAAAAAAAAUAAAAAGUAACAGUGAUAAAGGACCUGUAACUAGAUCAGUGGCGGACAACAUAUUAAAUGCUCCGUCCAACUCAAGCUGCCAUAUCAUUCUGUAACUGUUUUCUGUAGCGUGUUCCGUGCAUGUAGCAUUUCUCUUUUUAUUAUAUGGCCCAUUGUUGUUCAGUGUUUCAGUUCAAAUCAGUAUAUUAGCCUCCAGAAAUGUUGGGGCGUCCCAGGGCACGGCAGGUUGCGCUCCGGCCCAUAUAUGAUAGCUUUCAUCAGAUAUUUCUUAUGGGUUGUGUGCAUAUGGACUAUAUAUGGUUGAAUAAAUUUUGGACCGAGAGACCACGGUUCCAUUGUUAAGAGUCUCUCGGAAGACAAAAAUGUGUGUUUCUUCAUUCUUGCAGUGCAUUUUAAAGAAAACAAAUGGCUCUUUUCUGGAUCAAUUUCGGACAUUACACCGGUUACAUGCGAACAACACCUGGUUUAGUUCUUGAGAUUUUGGGUUCUGAAAUUUUGAAAUCUUCUAUCUAUAUCUGUGUAGAAUGUAAAAAAACAUAUCUAAAUUAGGGUCGAUUUUUCUAUGAUGUGCCCUCAGCAAAUACACCAACCACAUCAAUUAAAAUGAUCUGAAUACAAAAAUUCUCACUCUUAGCAAGUGCCCAUGAGUGCACACAUUUUUCAUGGUGUGCCCGUGGCACACAAGAGUCAUUAACUCCCAUGAGAAUACUAACUUUUGAUUGGUGAAUGAAUAUUAUUAAAUGAUGAUGGCUCUCUGCAUUCACAUCAAUUCCACCAAUCAAAUUAAAUGAUUUUUAUAAAAAUUGAUAUUUAGCAUGUGUCUAUAAACACCCACUAGAAAAACUAAUAUAAAAUAGGAGUAUCAUUUAAACAUCUCUCCGACUUGCUCCCUCGUCAAAUUUUUUCUCCUUGCGCUCGACCAAAGCACCUCCUAAUUGUUGUUCCAACUUAUACGCAAAAAAUGAAAAAACGCUCCAACAAAGUACCUCCUAAUUGUUGUUCCACACUUAUAUGCAAAAAAUAGCUGUUGCAUAUAUUCGUGUACAUUCCAGACAAUUCUUACCGAAGUGAAUUAUUAGAAGGGGCCUAUGCAGGCCACAGCUCCCUCGUUUUUUAUAAUUGCCACAUGGCUAGUUUUCCACGUGGCGAACCCUCAGCCAUACACUAAAUCACAGAUCCAUCAGAUUAAAUCGACGGCCAAUAUUAAAACUACUCCCAAAAUGUAUGUUGACUAAAGUCAUGCAUUUCGACCAUAAAUACAUGACUCGACUCUGCGAUAUGACCUCCCAAUAAUUCGGCGUUGAGGCUCUAAGGUACACAACAACUCCACUAUGAGCUUACUUGAUCAGCUCUGGGACGACACUGUCGCCGGUCCUCGCCCGGAUUCCGGCCUCGGAAAGCUUCGUAAACAGUCCAGCUUAGGCUUUUUAUCCGUCAACUCUGCCGACGUUAACAAGGGUACGCACCCACCCUAUCAAUAUCUAUAUCUGAAAAUAAUCAUCAAUCAACCUGAACACGGUUGGAUAACUCAGUGGUUAAAAAUUUAUUCUUUGUCGUUCAGGUCUUGAGUUCGACCUGACUAUCCCGAAAAUUAAUCACAUGUUACAUGGAACAAAGCAUCGACAAGAUUAUCGGUUUCCAUAAUUGUUGUAAUUUAUCAGAUGUUUAUAAAUGUUUGGUUUUCUGACGGAUAAUUGUUAUAAAUUAUUAGAUAUUUAUAGAUGCUCGAUGUGGUACUGAGAUGUUAUAAAAGCUUGAUAUAGUGUGUAUGUAGCUAGGUUAAUAAAGCUAUGGUAGUAUAAAUCUGAUUGAACGUUGAUCUGUGGCAGUAUCGGACGGUGGGAAUAUGAGAUCAGGCGGGGAUACUCCGGCGAGAGUUACGCGAAGCAUAACGAUUCUGAAGCCGCCUGUAGUCGGAGAUCAGAGUGAGACGCCGCCAGCUUCGCCGGCAGGAUCUACAACUCCGAAUUCUCCGUUUUCGAGUAAGUAUUAUUGGUGCUUUUUCAGUAUUCUUGUGUUUGCCCCUGGGCUGGGGCGGAUCUAGGAAGAGGCACGGGGGGACACGUGCCCCCCCUAAAUUUUUUUUUUUACAGUUUUUCACCAUUCUAAAUUUUACAAAAUUAUAGAAGUGCCCCCCAAGAUUUGAAAAUAUAUAGGUGUUUUCCGAAAAUUUGCUUGGUGCCCCCAAGAUUUUGGGUCUAGAUCCGCCCCUGCCCCUGGGUCGGUAUAUACGUAGGGGUGUUUAAAGGGGAUUGAUUAUGGGAGCAAGGGUAAUGUGGUCAAAUAGAGUGUUGUCGCUGGGUAAGAUGGAUAUGUAUCCUGUUAGAUAAACAAUAAGAUAAAGUUAGGAGGAUGCAAUUAUUAUGUUGGGCACUAUUAGAAAACGACGUGCAUCUUUGGCUAAUAUACUGAUCCAGUAAACUUCCUUUUUCUUUUUGAGGGCAUAUCAAUUUAAAAUAAAAAAUAGAGUAUAACUUUAUGAAAGUAAAUAAAACUCGAUAAUCAAUCACAAGCUUAUUAAUUUUUCUUAUUCAUGUAAGACAUGAUCGCAGAUUUCGGGAAUCGGAACUAAUCGGUUGAGCCAACGAUUCAGAAAUUAUGAUUUAUCAGAUUUUUUAUUAAUAGUCUGGCCCGACCAAAGACUGAUAGCCGGAACUUUUAAUCAAAUCAGAAUAUAAACGAUAAAUUAAUCAAAUAUUUUUUUUUAAAUUUAACUAGAGAUUUUCAGAACACUGACAAAAAAUCCGAAAGAUUCACAAAUAAUGAGGGGAGAAUUGAAUCCAGCACUUACUCUAUUACUUAUUGUAUCGGGGACCUCACAGUCCCUUGGCCACUAUGUCCAUCUGUUAAGUAUUUAAGCUGAUCCAACGGCUACAAGUGUUAUAGUAUAAACUACAACAUAUUAAGUAUAAAAUUGAAUGAAUCAUGUCAUUCUCAGUGACUUGGUAGAUUCAAAUGUUUGGACUUUUCUUUUCGUAUAUAUGUUUAUGUUGAUUAUAUUAAUAAUAUAUGUCAUUUUACAUCGCAUCAUGCGGGGCGGGCUGAUCAUUCUUAAUAUGUAGCUUGACACAUUCAAGGAACAUCUAAUCUUAUAAAUAAGAUUUAAUUAUGUGACAAUCUUACAUUAAUAAACCUCAUUUGUCCCGGAGUGGAUUAUUGUUGCUUUCAAGGUGUAGCUAUAUAAUUGACAUAUCCCAAACGAAGCUAAGUAUCUUGAUAACAUGAUCAGACUAAUCUUGAUGUCAAGAUCAGUUGCAUGAAAUUAUUGGCGGAUCCUGGAAUUGAUAGAUCGAGGCUUGAUUGAUAUUAAGAAAAAAACCAAAUUUUCACAGUUCUCGAUGUCAGAUAUAAAGUCAUACAUAUUAAAUAUGAAGAAGCAUGAUUGCUUAAUUGGAUAAUCAUGAUCAGUAGAUCCAUCAGUUAUACAGUCUUGUGUGUAGGCAUGGUUAAUUAUUAUUUGGUCAUCUGUAUGUGCAAGCUUGUUUCCUCUUGAUAUGUUUACUCUUAUUUCCCUUGACCAAUAUUGUACUCCAAAACAAUCUAUAUCACUAACCUGAGGUUUUCCUUUUAAUCUAGGAGGAGGGUCCUUCCAAUUCCGUAGAAGGUCCGUGUUGGAAACCUAUGAGAAAGCAAGCGGAAUCGGAUUCAAGAGCCCUCGUCCUCCUUAUGACAUAUGAGAUUUCCUUAGCGGAAAUAGUCACUAGCUGUUACAUAUGUACUUUGCUUCCCUGUUCAAGAAAUGAGGAGUGCAUUGGAAUGUUAUUACUAUCACUACACCAUAAGUGGCCUAUUGUAACAAAUAAUUUUGGUGUUACAAGAUAAAAUGUUACCAUAGGUGCCUUAAAAUGAAUUUUAUCUACAUAUGCCUACACCUUUUUUUAGUGUAACCAUAGGUAAAGUACAGUGUAAUCGUAGAUGUAAUGAGACAUCUAUGCUAACAUUUUAUUUGGUGUUACCGUUGGUUUUAAAAUAAGUGUAACUAAUUGCUGAAUUGUUUUGGGCGGCUGAAAUGAAACAUGCGCGGGAUAACUUCAAAAUAAUUAAAAACAGAAAGGGGGAAAAUAAAGUCUUGCCCUAAAAUUAAAACUAAAACAAAAACACUACAGUUGCGUUGUCCUAAAACUAAAAAAGCUCCCUCUCUCUCGAACACUCUCCUCAGCUCACCUCUCACCUCUCUCAAAAUCAAUCGCGAUCACUCACUCACUGAACCCUAAACCACCCACCCACCCACCCAGUCACCCACUCAACACUCACUAACCAGUCACUCACUCAGUCGGGUCUGCAAUCGGGCUACAAUCGGGUUUACAAUCGGGUCUACGCUCUUCAACUGGGUUUUUACUCUCAAUCGGGUAGCAAUUUGGUGUUCAAUUGAGUCUUAAGUUGGGGUUUUCAAUUGGGUUUUCAUUCGGGACUUGAACUAGGGUUUUUUGUAUAAUAUUGGAUUAGAUACUGCAUCCUUUUGUAUGAACAGGUAUAUUUUCUCACCUACUACUAUUAUUCUUUAGCCCUGUUGACAAACAACUGCUGCCCAGACUUUCAGUUCCUCGUUUAAGGUACUAAUUUUGAUUUAUCACUCCAUUUUUUUAGAAUUUUAUCUUUAUGUGAUUUUUGAUUUGUGAGUACUUAUGUUAUUUUUUUUUGUAAGGAGUACUUAUGUUAUUUUGAUUGCUUGAUAUUUGCUGUUUUUAUAUGUUUGUUUGAUGGGGUUGUUAAAGUUUGAAUCUUGAAGAUUUUCCCAGCUUUGUGUACUGUGAUCUUGAUUCUUGUUGACUUGGUGGACUCAGUCAGCUAAUUGAACUGAUGGGUGUUUUUUAUAUUGAUUUGUUAUGAUUUUUUGGGUACUUUUGAUUGCUCUGCACUGCAAAAUAAGAUAGCUAUUGCAAUCUAUUGGAAGUUCAGUAUUAUUCAUAAAUUAAAUAGAAAUGGCGCUGCAUCUGCUUGACAGUGUGUUUAGACGCGGAGAACUUUAAAAACUUCAAGCUGGUUGAGCGCAAACAGCUUAGUCACAAUGUCGCUGAAUUCAAGUUUGCACUUCCCACACCUACUUCAGUGCUUGGCCUUCCAAUCGGACAACACAUUAGUUGCAGGUUUGGCUGAUUGAUUUGUCUUUUAAUUAGUUUUCUUUAACCUUUGCCUAUUACAAGGCAUAUAUAGUUUCUUUAAUCAUACGAUCAUAUGUGGCUUGUUAUACAGAUAUAUAAUUGUAUUAUUAUUCAAAAAUAUACUAAAAAUAAGUGUCAAACAGAGGUAAAGACAGCCAAGGUGAAGAAGUUAUUAAACCAAAGACAUCUACUACUCUGGACUCAGAUGUUGGACAUUUUAAAUUAGUUAUUAAGGUAUAUACUCAAGUUCCUUAAGCAGGAUUAUUGGCCGAGGCUCCAUUCACAUAGUUCUUUGUUUCUGUGAUAUAAUGCAUAUAUGAGAAAAUUUGUGAUUCUCCUAGUCUUUUCUUUUGUUCUGUGCAUUGGUAGACAGAUAAUAUUUUUGAGGACUCCUUGCAAGAGAUUCAACUUUCAUAUGACAAUGUCAAGAAGUUAACCAUUUAUAGGUUACCGGGCCAAGUGGGAUUGGUAAGACUUCAUUGCUAAGAGCUAUCGCUGGUCUCUGGAGUACUGGUCAGGGAAGCAUCAGAUUCUAUGGGAAGACUGCUGAGGAUUCUAGCAUACCCCCUUCUUCAGAUUCAACUCCUUUAAAACCAAGCGCUCCAACCAAUUCCACUGGAAAUCUAAAAAGACCUAAUUCUAGAGGUGUAUUUUUCCUUCCACAAGUGCUCUAGAUGAAGCUAAUGAGGUACUCUCUCUUUNAGGCCAAUUGGGAGUGGUAAGACUUCAUUGCUAAGAGCUAUCGCUGGUCUCUGGAGUACUGGUCAGGGAAGCAUCAGAUUCUAUGGGAAGACUGCUGAGGAUUCUAGCAUACCCCCUUCUUCAGAUUCAACUCCUUUAAAACCAAGCGCUCCAACCAAUUCCACUGGAAAUCUAAAAAGACCUAAUUCUAGAGGUGUAUUUUUCCUUCCACAAGUGCUCUAGAUGAAGCUAAUGAGGUACUCUCUCUUUACUUUUUUGUCGUUCUGUCUUGAACUGUACAGUAUUGCGGAAGCCUUAAAAUAUAAAACUAAUAUUGCAAAAAUACUGAAAAAGGUCAGAAACCAGAGCUGGAUUCUUUAGAAAUGGGAUUGUAGAUUAGAUUAUUAUUCCAUUUCUGUUGGUCGCUACUGUAGUUACACCUAGAGAAUAUUAGUUUUGACUAAAGAAAUUGAAAAUGUGUAAUGACAACGUUAUUUCUAUGACUUGUUUUUCAGUUAUCAGGUCAAUCAGUGAGUUUGCAUCACUCUCUUGUUCUCUUUAUUGGUUGGUAUAGUUUACCAGGCAGAGUGAUUUGUUGGUUUGCCAGCAGUUGUCAAGCUAUAGAUAAGCUGUGGCCUUUAUAUUUAACACAUGUUAUUCAUUUAUUUUAUUACACUUAAUUUUAAUUUUUUCCAACAAACUAAAUUAUUUAUUUGUCUGCCUAACCGAGAGGGAGGUUGAGAGGGUGGAAUGCUGUAUCGGUUUUAUGUAUGGAUCUUUCGCAGCACAUAGCAACAUACUUUUUGCUCUGAUAUAGGAUUAUGACCACUUAUUUACUUUUGUAUAUAUGAAACAUUUCUUGAUUGUGUUUAGUAUCUAGACCUGAUGUAAUUAUGCUUCUUCAAAACAAAAUUAAAGAGGCUUUUAAACCUAAGCCUGCAACUCGUAAGAACAAUUAAUUUGUCUAAUUUUCAUCCGGAUCUUAUAUAUACUUUGAAUUGGAUAGAUCAUAGAAGUAAUAAAAGAAGAAGAAAAAAUUUCUUGUCACGUCAAUUGAUCAAAGAUAUAUAAUUUAAAACCAUUAACUAUAUAAUAAUAGGUGGCAUUGCCACUUUUAUCUUCUUGAUGCUGUAGUAGUAGACUAUUACUUUUUUUUUUAAACCUUUGUUUUAUAUUGUAGAUUCACCACUACACCCAGCCACACAUCCAAAUGAAUGAAUAUCGAGACCGUGUAAUAUUGGUAAGCAUGUAGCCUUUGUGAUCUUCCUGACCAAUCACCUAAUUAGUAGAUAUUCUUGUAAUAUGAUCCUGUAAUUACAGAUAUUAGAUAUCUGAAAAAAAAAGUAAGAACAUAAGGAUGUUACUAGAGCCAGAACUUAUAUUACGUAAUUAUUACAGAAAUUAGUUACUCUUCCAUAUCUGAUACAUCAUAAUAUCUAUACUUAUGUAGUGUUUACAUUUUUCUAAUAUUUGUUCUUGAAGAAGAGUAAAGAAGAUUUGAUUCGUAUAUUUUCUAUCCAACAUUAUACAUUUGUGAUGAAAGAUUUCAAUAACAGGUUUACGUAGAAAGUCAAGCAGCAGAUUAGUAAAGGACAAUAUGAAGCUGCAACUAAUUCAUGGAGUGAACUUGAGAAUGUUAUAUAUUCUUCGGAUUUGGCAUACCAGAAUCCAGAUUUGAAGAUCAAUCUCGAUGAGUCCGACAAGUAUACAGAAGCAGAAGCAGAGUCAUUUGAGUCUGAUUAGUAGUAAUACUUGUCGCAAUUUAACUCUGUUUUGGUUUUUAAUUGUACCUCAUGAUUAUGAUGUAUUUUAAUUGUUGCUGGUUGGUAUAGCCAGGCUUGGAGCUCUGUUUUUGGUAAUUAUUGGAAUUGUGUUUGUUGUUGGAUAUUGAUUGGUAAAUUUGAAAUGGAGAAGUGCUAUUUUCAGAUGUAAUAUUGCCUUUUUUUUCCCGAUAAAGUGUUGGCUAAGAGUCUUGUAAAGUGUAGCUUGUAAAGUGUAGCUAGCUAUUGUUGUAAAUGGUUCAUAAUUCUCUGUUGCUAAAUAUCAAAAAAUGUUGGUAAAGAUAUAAAAAAUGUAGGUAAAGGUAGAAAGGUUUAUAUAAAAAUGUAACCAUAACUAACAAGAUGUUGCCAUUGAUAACUUAGUUUUUUAAAGUUCAGUGUUACAGUAGCACAAAUGGUGUUACCAUAGGCCUAUAGUUACAGCUCAUUUAGUGUUACCAAAGCAAAUCAAAGUGUAGGCAUAGAGGUGUAUGGUUACACUUUUUGAGGUGUAACCAAAAAAUGAAAAUAUGUUACCCUAGACCCCUAUGGUAGCACCGAUUUUAGUUACGAUCCUGUUUUGUGAAAAAGUGUUACCAUAGCCCUUUUUUGCACUUUCAGCAACACUUUCUGGCCUUUAUUCACACUUUUUUGGCUGUUACAAUAGGCCACUUAUGGUGUAGUGUAUGUGAGUGUGUGCUUUUCGUAUGUAACGAACUGUCUGAACCUGUGAGAUGUUUUGCACUUGUUUUCCGUGUCAGUAGCGAACAAGUUCAUGGAGGCUUCUAUCCGUACCUGUAAUAUAAGUGGUUUGCAAAAUGUUCUAACGACUACUUAUCUACUACAUUUAUGUGGUGUUUGUAUUAUGUUUGCUUCGGGAUAUCUUGUCAUACUUUCCUAUCCCUCUAUUUCUUUUCUUUGUGCAGUGCCAAAUUCACCUGACUAUACACACACCUAAUAUAUGAAUUAAGAAUAUAUAGAAUAGUAAAGUUUGAGCUUUGUAAUUUUUAUUGCAAUAACGUUGUCCGUGGACAGUGGUGAAACCGGAAUCUUGAAACAUAUGGGGCCAAAAUUUAUAAUUUUUUUUAGGGAAAAUCAAUUUUUUUAUCACUAAAUUAUUAUAUCUUUUAGAAACUUACCACCCAACACAAUUUAUAUUUAAUACAACCAUUAACGUUUCAAUUUAUAUUUAAUACAAUCAUUAACGUUUCCAACGUUUAUGAUUAUAAUCAGUCCGUUAGGUUUUAUAUAGAAACAGUGAAAAUGGUUGCCAGCGUGGAUUUGCUUAUUUCUUUCUUUUCUAGUGAUUCUUCUACUUUGUAACUCCUCCACGUCAACCAAAUUGCACACAUGACCCCAUUCACUUCAUCACUUCACUAUAUAAUAAUUUAUUAUUUAAAUAUUUUAGUGCAGAUACUAUGCAAACUCUAUGCAAUGCUUACUGCUUUUUCUAUGCAUUGGCAGUUUUCUGAGGACUUUGUAGUGUUCUGCAUUCCCUCUGAUCGUUACUAUAUCAGCAUAUUGUUUUUCUAAUUAAGGUUUUAGAUGUAUAUUUUAAAUAUUCAGACUGUCUUCUUAAUAAUCUAAAUCUCUCAGUACUUGCAGAUACUAGCAUUCAGGAAUAGAGAGCUAACAGAUUCAAUAAACCUGAACAAAGGAACAUCCAACAAACAACAGGAGUAUUGAAAACAGCUAUAAAAUAAAACCAAAUUUCUUAAAAACACCUCCAGCAAGUGACAAUUAUCAGCAUACCCUUCUUCCUUCCUCGUAACUCAAAUUUUAUCACGUUGCAGCAACCUACACUUCACAUGUCAAGACCAUCUGAUCAUCAGCACCACCAGUCAGUUAAAGAAGAGGAUUUCUGCAACAUGUUCGACGAGAUCAAACCGUGUUUUGGCCGUGGCUUGAAAAACAAAAAACCUUCAACUAAAUUCUGAAAAAACUUUAUCCAAUCAAGUGAUCGAAAUAUAUAUGUUUCUAAAUUAUCGAAACAAGUGAAACAAGUAUCAAAUCAAAUAUCAGUAAUAAGUUGCAAUAAUCAUUUCAUCGAGCGAGCAAUAUGGUUAACACAUAAGUAUAUUUCCAUUCAAUCUGGUAAAAUAAAGCAUGGUUGAUGACCAUUCUAUUCAUCUGACCAUUCCAAAUACAAGUUUCAUUUUAGUAGUUCAUACUAAAUUCAAAAAACAAGUUCAUGACCAUAUCAGAUACUUCCUACUAACAUAAACAAAAGCUAUAGAGAUUUAAUUGUUCUCCUGCUCAUUUCUUGGCACAACCUUCCUGCCUUUCUUCAUCAGUGGAGAUCUAAUAGGUUGACUAUAACUAGUGUGGUUGAUUACAUCUCCUAAACCAUGAGUUGGUAUAGUAGGCUGUGAACUUGUGACUUUCAUUGUGGUUGUUGAUGAAGACAAGUAGGUGUGCCCAUCAUCUCCCACAAACACACCAACACCAGAUGUUUUUUUCACCUAAUGAACUGGGGGAGCUGCUUUUAGAGGCCUUCCUCUUUUCUUUGGCUGUGUUGGAGGUUCUGUACUUGUAGUUGCCUUCUUUUUUUGCCCAGGCUUUGUUGCUGCAUGUGUAGUAUGUCCCUCCGUAGUCUGCAUUAUCAUCAUAAAUACAUGUUUAAACAUGUUGAAAUAAAUUGUCUGAUGAGUAUGAAGUUUAAAAGGUACCUUGUAAUAGUAGACGCCUUCUCUCGUUUUGAACUCGCCCCCAUGAUGUAUCUCAACUCUGCAGAUUGUAUCCAUCGAACAGCCAAGCUUUUCAUUACCCUACUUUUGUGUUUAGUGGGUCAUCCCUCUAUAUUCCCUGCUCAAUAGUUUGUAUAUUUAUUUAUUUGAUAAUAUAUGAUUACAGGUCAUCACCCAGGUGGAAUAGUACUUAACAGACGUUAAGUAUUUUUAACAGGAAGAUUGGAUUCUAAUAAGAAAAUUAAUUGAAGCCUAACUCUAAGAUAAAAUUUUGUUGGGUGGCAAGUUUCUAAAAGAUAUAAUAGUUUAGUGAUAAAAAAAUUGAUUUUCCCAUUUUUUUAAAACACAUUUCAUGUUCCAGGGCCCAGCGGAGCCACAGCAAAGGCUGUGCUGGGCUCUAGCCCAGGACAAAAAAAUAAUACUAUAAAAUUUUCUAUUAUGUAGUCCAGUUUUUUGAAGUUAGCCCAUGAUAAAUUAGGCCCAACCCACUUUUUUUAUCUAAAACAUUGAGGGGUCGUUUGGUUUAGGCUUUCCUGGUAUCAGGUAUGGGUUUUGUUCAUUACAAACCCAUACCUGGUGUUUGGUUAGAAUUUUAUUUCAUCAAACCCAUUCCUCAAACCCACAAGGUAUGAGAAUUUCAUACCCAAGAGGGGAGGUGGGUAUGAAACGUGGGUUUCAGAAAUCAAAAUUGUUCUCUUUUAUUUUCAUUAUUAUUUAUAUUAUUUCUUGUAAAUUUUUAACACAAAAUGAAACUAAUGACUUAAAAAUGUAUAUAAAUAUUAAUUUAAUGAUAUUUUAAAUUAAUUACAAUUAACAACUCAUAAAUAUUAUAAUUCAACCAUAUUCAUUCCACCACUCAACCAAACACCUGAUAUCAUAAAUAAUACCUCAACCCCAUACCAGCUUAACCCGAUUCCUCAUUCCAACCCCAUACCCUCUCUCCAACCAAACGACCCCUGAGAGUUAAGGAAGAAAAUAAAUAAAGAAACUUCAAAAUAAAACUCUAGCUAGGUUUUUAAGCAAGGAAGGGAGGGGAUUAGAGAUCUGAAAAUAAUUAACAACAAAAUUAAGUAAGAUUUGUCAUUUGACAAAGAAUUUUUUUCAAAGUUAGCCUAGGUAAAAAAUAAUUCCUAGCUCCGCUCUUAGGCCCAGGCCAUGAGCUGGAAAGGAAUGUAGUUUAAAUAGUUUAUGAGGGUAUAAAGCCGGGGCUUCAGUUUACUCAGCUCCUCCUUGUUGUUUCCCUAUCUUUGUGUGGCUUGAGAUUGUUUGUGCGUAAUGGAGGUGUAGUGAUGGUGAGAUAUGUGUUUGGUAGGAUGGUGACAGCAAUGCAUAGAUAUCGGUUAGUGAAAUACACUAGUAUUUUCCUGUUUCUACUGCCAACUCCUUUCCUUGUUUCUGUUAUGUUACUUUUUCCCAUUAUAGUUGUUACAGAAUAAGUCUGUGUUGAAGGUCUUUCUAGAGCUCUAAGGUUAGCAGCUGUUAGAGAUGAAAUUACGGGUAUUCGACCCCAAGGAUAAGUCAUCUGCUGUUUGCUGAUGAUAGUUUCUUAUUCUUUGAAGCUAACAAUCAGGAAGCUGCUGCUAUCAAAUCUUGACUGUUAAGGUAUGAGAUUCUUUAAGGUGGCCAUCAACCUUCAAAAAUCUGGCAUCAUGUUUAGUGCCAACGUGCUGAAUUACUCAAGAAUGGACAUUUCUGAAAACAAUUUACAGGAUAGUAAGUAUCUUGGCCUUUCUUCUCUCAUUGGCAAAUCUAAGAAGAAUGUAUUUAAUUUCUUGAAAAGUAGGGUGUGGGAAAGAAUUGAGGGAUUGCACACAAAAUUGUUGUCCAAAGCGGGAAAAGCUGUGUUAAUCAGAAGUGGAGCACAAGCAGUUCCUUCGUAUUGUAUGUCCUAUUUUUUUCUUGCCGAAGACUCUAUGGAGGACAUUCAAGGAAUUCUUAAUGAUUUUUGGUGGAGUUCUAAUUCUAAGGAGAAAUGAGGUAUACGGUGGCAUCGGUGGGAAGAUUUGUGUAAUGCCAAAAAACGUUACUCCCUUUCAAUUUACAUGUACAUUUUCAAAAAAAUAUUUUGUUUCAAAUUAAUUGUCCACUUCAACUUUCAAUGCAAAAUCAUAUUUCCAAAGUCAAUUCUCCCCACAUAUCUCUUAUUUAUAUUUUCUAGAUCAAUCUCAUUCUACAUAUUAUGCUCAUUUAAUGCGAUUAAUUUGUGAACAUCCAUGAUUUUUUGAAAGUGGCUCGGCUCGAUUAACUUCGGCUCGAAUUACGUCUGGUUCGAAAUUUGGCUCGCUCGGCCCGAAUUACACUCCAAGAUUUGUGUAAGAAUUCACUUGUGGCUAAGUUUGAAAUUAAAGAUGCAGCGUACUUCAUUUGACUUUUUAUUAUUUUGGAAAUAUGUGAUCAAUAAUUUCAUAGGAGGAGUGAAAUUUGAAUUCUUAAAUCAUAGUUCGAUUCACCAUAACAUUAAAAGGUAAUUACAUAUCGCACCCUUUAAAUAUUGUUCAAAAACGAUAGAGUACCUAUACUUUAAGAAACUCAACUCGCACUCCUUAUCUUUACUUCUCAAAACCGAGAUGCACUCUCUGCCGUUAACUUCCGUUAACUCAGUGCCCUCCGUUAAGUCACUAUAUAUAUAAUUGCAAUUCGGACCCCCUAACUUACGUUCAAAAACAAUAUUGUACCUGUACUUUUGGAAACCCAAAUCGGACCACCUAUCUUUACAUUUCAAGAACGAUACGCACAGCCUCCGUUGAAUUCCGUUACCUUCCGUUAAAAUACUCCUCCAUCUCAAUUUACAUGUCCUUUUUGCUUUUUUAAAGUCAGAUUGACUAAUUUUUGACCAACUAUUAAAAAAAUAUUUAUUUAUUAUUUUAGGAAAUAGAAAGUUACAUAUUAAAAUAUACUAAAUUUUGUUUUAAAAAAUAUCAUCAAAAAGUAAAUCUAGCCUAUUUUAAUAGAGGUAAAUAAUAGGGAGUCGGAAUUGCAGUUACCUCUAUUAUUUGUGAAAUUCGAACCCUCUAUUAUUUGCGAAAACAAAUAGACUAGAUUUACUUUUUGAUGAUAUUUUUUAAAAAAUUUUUGUUUAAUUAAGUUAUGCCCAAGUCAAAAUUAUUUUACAUAUUGAAUGAUUUUAAAUUUUUAGUGACAUAUGUAUUGGGUAUUUAAAAUAUACACUAUUUUAAAUAUAAAAAAUAAAUAUUAUAUGAUAUUUAUUAUAAAUAAUACAUAAAAUUUAUCUAUUGAUUAAAAUAUAUAAAUUUUAAUUAUUUUGUUUGGAAAAAUUGAUCAAAAUUUUUUAAAAAAAAUAUCAUCAAAAAUUAAAUCUAGUCUAUUAUAAUAAAUACAUAUUUUCAAAUAGUUGGUCAAAAAUUAGUUAAUUUAACUCCUCAAAAAGCAAAAGGGACAUGUAAAUUGAGACGAAUGAGUAUUUUAACGGAAAAGUAACGGAAUUCAACAGAAGGGGUGUUUAUCGUUCCUGAGAUGUAAAAAUAUGUGGUGCGAUUCGAGUUUUCAAGAAUAUGGGUACAAUAUCGUUUUUGAACGUAAGUUAGGGGGUCCGAAUUGCAAUUAUAUAUAUAUAAUGACUUAACGGAGUGCACUGAGUUAACGGAAGUUAACGGCAGGGGGUGCAUCUCGGUUUUAAGAAGUAAAGAUAAGGGAUGCGGGUUGAGUUUCUUAAAGUAUAGGUACUAAAGUGAUUUUUGGUUUUUGGUGAUAGGAUAAUAUUUUAACAAUUCUAAUUUCAUUUUAAUGAAAGUAACACAUCAAUCGCAUAAUAAUAUAAUAGUUAUAGUUAAUUUUUUAAUAACAAAUUGACUAUAAUUUGAUCAAACUUUAUAUCAAUAGAUUAAAAAAAAUAUAUAUCAUUAAAAAUUAUAUAAAAUAUUUUUAAAAACUGGCUUUUUAUUUUCUUAAGUUAUAAAUCGAUAAUUUUUAAUCUUUUUUGCUAGCUUUUUUUUUUUUGACAGAAUUUUUUUUGCUAGUUAAUUUGACUAAGACACGUAUAAUUUGGAAGGUGAUAAUCUAUUAAUUGGAAUUACAAAAUUUAUAAUUAUAUAUUUAUUAUAAUUAUUAAAUAUAUCAUAAUUCAUGCUUAAUUAAUUCAAUUAUCAUUCUAUCUAUCAAUUUUAUAUUGAAACAAUACAACAAUUAAUGGGAUUUCAGGACUACAAUCAGAGAUUAAUACAAAACUGGUAGAUAUCAGGAGUGACGAGUUGAGAUUGAGCAGAAAAGACUACUCUAAAGACUGGAUGACCCAAGUCAGCUAGAAAGAUGAGUUCCAUUAACACCAUACUUUGGCUACUGCUCCUUGCUUCAUUUGAUCUUUUACUCUCCUAUGCAUCUGGUAUGUUUCUUGAUCUGGGUUUUGUUUUUAUUUUUUAAAUCUUUUGUUGUUUGAAUCAACCCUGAUAUAAAUAUUAACCUUGUAUCCUUCUCUGAUGAUAUAGUUUGAAAGAAACAAUCUUGGUUAUUAUCUAGGAGUACUAAUUGAAUUGUUGACUUGACAGAAAGAUCAGUUCUUUGUACAAAUUUGAAUAUGAAUCUUUUUUUUGGAGGUGGAUUUUAAAUUUUGGUUUUUGGUUGUUAUGAUUUGAAGUUUGCAAUCUUGGAUUAUUAGAAUCUUAUAAGAAGUUUAAUGCAAAAUAAGAUCUUUUUCUUUUCUUUGUCAAAUUGGAACCUUGUAUUGGAGAAGUGGAGCUUGUGCACAAAUUUGGUCUGUGAUUUUGUAAGGGGUCGAAGGUUUUAUGUUAAUGGGGCUAAUUUAACCCAAAAACUAGUUCGUAGGGUACAAUGGCUUCCCUUAAUGGUUAGGAAGUGAUCAUCACCUUCUUGUAAACACUGUUCAGUUUCCGAAAAAAUAUCCCUCCUCACUUAUCAUGGUAUAAUCACCCAAAAAUAUCCCUCUUCACAAUGUGACAACACUCCUCCCAGGCAAAGCCACCUUAAGAUUGUUGUAACCUGAACUUAUGUCUUAGACUAGCUGUCAAACUUUGUGAACUUACAUACUAUUCACUAAUUAGAACAUAGGUGUCCUUAAGCUUCAAUUAUUUGAUUCCCAGUGCUUUGUGAGUGGGGUAGAUCCGACGAAGCUGGAGAUCUGGUGUUAAUAGGUAUCUUAAAGCAUAUACAGUAAGUAUUACUGGGGAAGGAACUUCCUUUAUUUCAAAGAUUUUGUAGCCAUGAAAGGAACUUCAGUGCUUGAUUUUUGCAGCUCUGUCAAAAGUUUUGGACUUUUAGUUCAUUAAACAGAGUUCUAGUGUCUACGACUAUGAUCAGGAUGAAAUAUACUAGGGUUUAGGGAUGAACAUAUGGAAUAUCUUUUACUGCACUGAGUACUAAUUUUCUGUCAAUAAUUUAGUUGCUGGUCUUAGAGACGUCCUAGAAAGAUAGUGAGAUAGUAAGUUCCAAAAAAGACCGGUGUUAAUAUAUUAGCUGGCUGAUGUCCUGUAAGCCUCCACUGCACUUCGAAUUUAGUGCAGUACUUUCUUCUGUCUCAAGCUCUAAUUAAGUAAAACCCUACAAAACUUACUUUACCAAUUAUACGGCCAAUUGUCCAUUCCAGAUUUCCGGCCCAAACUUCUAAAACUUAUGACACCUAAUUAACUGUAGUGUUAUUUUAAGAGGAAUAUAAGAAGACUUCUAAACGAAUUUUUGGCGAGAAAAGUUGAGAGCAAUUUAUCUACGAUGAGUUUGUGUAGAAAUGGGACAUUCAAUUUAUAAUUUAAAAUAGUAUGAAGGGAAUAGAGGAAUAGAUGGAAAUAUGAAACUGUACCUACAACAAUUACCAAUAUCAAUUUAUUCCAUCCAACUAAGAGAGCACUAGUGUUAAUACAAAUAUACAAUCUUUGAACCACAUAUAUUCUCACGUUGUGCCAUUUUUUUCACAACAUGUUACAGAUAGCCCGAAUGGAGUUUGUAGUUCUAUGGGUGGCCGGUUUCCUCCAUACACAAUCAAAGGCAAACCUCCCAGGAGAGUUAACAAGGGCCCCAAAGAUUUGACCCUUUGCAGGAUGUUCCGUAAAAGGACUUGUUGUGAUGUGACACAAACACAUCCAGCAUUCCUGACCAUAAGGAAACUAGCUUCUACAGGGGAAGCAAGUGAAGAUUGCCUUCAGUUGUGGGAAUUACUGGAGUGUUCUGUCUGUGACCCAGAAGUUGGUGUACGAUCUGGCCCUCCUCUUGUAUGUUCUACGUUCUGUGAUAGAGUGUACGAGGCAUGCUCUAAUGCAUAUUUUUCAAUGGAUGUGAGCACACAGGUUGGUUAAUCUCAGGGACCCAGAAUCACCUUUUCAAUUGACAAGCAUAGUGUGAAGUGUCUAUCUGAAAAUUGUGCAAAUUGUCUACUUGCUCCAGGAGGCGUAUAAUGCAUCUGUUGUGCUCAUUGAAUAAUCAUGAGCGACCGAGAAAAUGAAACAAAGUAUUCUCGGAUGCAGAUGGGUUAUGUGUGUGUGUGUGUGUGUCAGUGUUGUAGAAAUCCCCGAUUUAUUGAAAAAUACCCGACCUAUUGAAAAAUCCUCGAUUAAUCCUUAAAAUAUAUCUUACCAAACACUUCAAUUUGACUAAAAAUCCCCAAUUUUCAAAAAAAAAUCCGAUAAAUCCUGAAUCGGUAGGUCAACCGAUCAGCUCCGAUUCUCGAUUUCUACAAUCAUGGUGUGUGCGUGUGUGUGCGUGUAGGUUCUAAAGUAACUGAACUCGCUUUUACCAAUUUUAGAACUUCAAUCAUCUCAACAACCAUCACAUGACAGGUUUUAGCACCUUGUGGAGUGAACGACUUCGUUUGUGGGAGGGCUUCUGAGUGGAUUUCUAAUGGCUCUGAGCUUUGUCGUGCAUCUGGUUUUUCAGUGAAGCCGCUGUAUGAUAAACAAGAGAGAUCUUGUUAUGGUGGGAAAUCAAGUCUAGAUGCCAUCGCUGAUGCAUGGAAGCCCUCAAGAUAUAAAGAUGUGCAUCAAACCAAAAAUUCUGGGGUAGCAAAAGGUUUGCAGCAGUGGGUGAGGGAAGUGCUAUCUAACGAAAAAGUUUCAUGGGCAGUGGCAGGAAUGGUUCUUACUGCAGGGGUUUUGUUCAAAAGGUUAAUGUCAUAAUUUCUUGGUACAGUUGAACUGAUGAAAUUUGGUAGUCAUGUGCCUGCUGUUCAUGUCUAUAGUUGUUUCCUUAAAUCUUGUUUAUUGACUAUUUGCAGCCUGUGCUCAUAAUGUUUUCUGGUUUUUCUUGCUACAUAUCACAGAUAUGCCUGAUACUGACUGCAAAAGGGUAUUACGAGAAUAUAGAUUUUAGAUCUUUGAUUCUUGCACAUUAGGAAAUUAUCUUGAAGGCGCUAAAAUUUGUUACAUCAUAAUAUCUGCACAGCCAACUGCUCCAGAAUAUAUUGUCGUGUCUCUUCCUUCAUUCUUUACUCAUGCCCAACUUGAAUGUAUUCAUACAAAACUAUGAUUUAGACACACGGGUAUUAACUUUACCCCAAAAGAAGAAGACUGCAUAUAUUUUAUCAUGGCUUGCUUUUCUUGAGUAUAUCUAUAAAAAUCUGCUGCUAAUUUAUGCUUUUGUGGGGUUAUGCAGUAGAAGGAAGAGACGGCGGCAACACCAGAUACAAGCUGCAAUUCAGCGGAACGCAAGGAAAAUUGACCGAAACCUGAAGCCAAAAUCCCCUGAUGGUCAAACAAAUAGAAUAGGUAGUCGGAGAUGAUAGACCCCUUGAGGUUAGUCAUGCAAAUUCUUUAUAACCACCUACUUGUAUUUCAUUUUCUUCCUGCCCCUUCUGUUAAAGCUGACGCUGUUGGUGAUUAAUUGGUGUCAAAGAUAUUAGGUUUGUCUGUUUAAGUAAGGUAUUCAUAUCUACUGUUUUGUUUGUUUAAUGCAGUUUCGUCAGCUUACAUGAUGUGAUAUAGGAGGCUGGGGAAAGAGGCUCUAACCAGUUUAUAGAAGAUUAGAAGUAAAAUUUUGAGUAUGCAGACAAAACGGGAUACUUGUAGCCAUAUAGCAAGUAUCAGUUUCUAAAAAAAUCCUGGUGCACUUUGGCCUUUUGUACUUCAAGAUAAUAUAAGAUUGUGUUUAAAAGAAAAAUAUGUGUUGCUAUACACUCUAAUCGUCUAAGAUACACCAGGCUCUUUUGGUAUAUAACAAUGUUCUAGAAAUAGCUAGAUGCAUAGGCGGCGAGACUACCUUCUUGGGGACUAGUCGGCUAAAAGAAGGUUAAUCGAAAUAUUAGUUGGAUGUAUUUUAAGACGACUUCUCAAUGCUACCUUUGUCCCGAGCAGUUCUUUACUUUUGAGACAGAGGGUCGACAUGCAUUUUAAUUUCCAAGCUCUCAAUCCCACCUAGAUCCAUUCAUGUAAGAGUUUGCAAUAAAACCCAAUUUAUAGCACCACUGGCUGAAAGAAGCUAAAUUACACAGGGAGGGAACCAAAGCUCAUGUACAGAAUAUAUGACCAAAAGCUGUCUCUUUCUUCCCCAAUUUACACUAUGAAACUUCUAAUGACAGAAAAUAGUAAUUACAACAAGGUACGCCAAUUUGCCUAUACUGGUUCAGUCUUCAAUUUCUUGAAACAAUCAACUUCUCAUCAUCUUCAAGUGCAGCAAAUUUUGUUGGGCUUAUGGUCCGAGUUUUGGGGGCUGCAUAUAAGGAACAUAAUAGAAAGCAUAAGAUUAUCCACAGAUUAUGAAUAUGAAGCUGAGCAUAGGCUAUUGAUACCUUUUUAAGAGGCAUCUUCGAAUUUUUUGGCUGCUCUAAUGGCUUCAGUAUUUCAAAAGAACACAUCAAGGAUUCGUUCACACUUAGCAGAGCCCCUGCAUUGUCAAACUCACCCCCGUAGUUUGGAGCAGAAAAUAUUGUGACUAGUCUUCGUCUACAAAAGAAUUCGUAUCCAUCUUCCACCACCUAUAUCAAACAAAUUAUAAAUUCAUCAUCUUGGAUGAGGAAGAAAACCAGGCCAUUUUUGAAAAUCUGUGAAUAUACCUGAUGACCGCGACAAAUCAGAUCGAGGCCAUUCUUGUCCAAAAAAUCAACGACAACGUCAGAUCCAAAUGUGCAUGAAACACCUCGGUCGCUAUCUGCCCACCCCUCAAUGCUAGGAUCAGGAUCUGACCAGAGCAGAUCACAUAAUAGACCAGAUUCAGGAAUUUCAGUAGGCCUCUCAAUGGCCUCUAUUUGAUUCACAUUUUCUAGCUCAGGAGAAAGUCCUCCAUGCAUGCAAAAUAUCUUUUCAUCAAUGAGUGCAGCAAUAGGCAAGCAAUUGAAGCAGUCUGUGAAUAUCUUCCAGAGUCUAACGUUGAAUCGCCUUUUGCAUUCAUCAUAAAACCCAUAUAUUCUGUUGAUUUUUGCAUCUUCAUGAUUACCCCUUAAGAGGUGUACGCGAUCUGGAUAUCUUAUCUUGUAAGCUAAAAGAAGGCAUAUGGUUUCCAGGCUUUGCUUGCCUCUGUCCACAUAAUCCCCAAGAAAAAGAUAGCUUGUUUCAGGAGGAGUGCCUCCGUAUUCGAACAGCCUCAGUAGGUCUUGGUAUUGUCCAUGGAUAUCACCUGUGAUUAAGUUGUGCACUGUAUUAGCAUGAAUUUAGGCAGAUUCAAGUUUACCAAGACAAACGACAAUCUUUAAAAUUAAGAGAGACAGGGGGGAGGGAGGGAGAGAGGGAGNNNNNNNNNNNNNNNNNNNNNNNNNNNNNNNNNNNNNNNNNNNNNAGAGAGGGAGCGAGAGAGAGAGAGAGAGAGAGAGAGAGAGAGAGAGAGAGAGAGACCGCAGAUACGGAUAGGGGCAUGUAUAUGGAGAAGAGCAGGCUGAGAUAGGAAUAUAUUGCGAGCAUUGACGCAUAGCUGGCGGAUCUCACCCUCCAUAAGCUGAACCUGUUUUCCUGCACCUCUGCCUUCCAAUAAUCUCCUUAGUAUAUCAUCCAAUACGCCUUGUUCCAUCGUCGCUUCUAUUGUUGUCAUCUUAUCACCCUCUAAUAAUUCUACCCAAUGUGAUGAUCUCUCCGAUCACAUACAAUUAUAACUUUAUUGUUACCUGGAUCUCACCUGACAAAUACAGACACAUCUAUUCACUUGAAUACCCGAUAUAGGCACAUCCGAUUUCAUAAACGAAGCGAUGAAAUUGAAAUUAUGGGGAGAUAUUUGAUAAACAUUUAUGUGUUAGCCUUCUUGAUGUGCUUGUUUCUGCAUUUGCAGAUGUUUCUGUUCCUUAUUUUGUUGUCAACUUUUGUUUUGUUUUGUGUAGGUUAUGUGGCAGAUUUGCUUGCCCAAGAAUAAUAAUCAGCCUCUAAAAUGAAGGAAUGUUUAGGCUUUUCAACUAAACUACACCGAGUGCGGACGAUAAUUCACGUAGCCUUUAACAUGAUACAAAAACAUAUACUACAUUAUUAUAGAUGUAAAUGGAGGUUCAAGAUUAUAUGUCAAUCCAACGAUGAUCAUAGUAUCCGUGAAUGAAUUUUAAAAUUUCAUAGUGGAAGCAACUUAUGAGUAUACCAUAUUUUAACAUAUUUAAUUUUUUGAAUGGCAUAUGGCAAAUACAUGCUUGAUGCAUAUAUCAUAUAUGAAACCCAGUCCUGAGGGUAGGCCAGAGUGGCAGUGGCCUAGGGCCCAAGAUUAGGAGGGGUCCCAAAAAUUUUAAGUUAUUUAAUUAUAAUACUUUUUUUAUCAAAAAA